rnacentral:rRNA from 1 species
CAGCUCACUGGUCGAGUGACCGGGCGCCGAAAAUGUAACGGGGCUAAACGUACAACCGAAGCUUGGGCUGCACAGCAAUGUGCGGGGUAGGGGAGCGUUGUGUGCGGGGUGAAGCAUGAGCGGAAGCGCGUGUGGACUGCACAGAAGUGAGAAUGCCGGAAUGAGUAGCGCGAAUUAUGUGAGAAUCAUAAUGGCCGAAAGCCUAAGGUUUCUGGAGGAAGGUUCGUCCGCUCCAGGUUAGCCGGGAGCUAAGGUGAGGCCGAAAGGCGUAGCCGAUGCACAUACGGUGGAGAUUCCGUAGCCAUCAAAGGAUUUAAGCAGAGGGACACAGUAGAAGGGUAUAUGCCGGGCGUUGGUAGCCCCGGUCGAAAGGGACCGAAAUCAGAGUAGGGAAGAUACACUUGGAUACUGGCGAGAAAAGCUCUGUGGAUAUUCGAGAUGCCCGUACCGCAAACCGACACAGGUAGGUAGGAAGAGGAUUCUAAGGCCAACGGGAGAAGGGUUGUUAAGGAACUCGGCAAGUUGACCCCGUAACUUCGGGAGAAGGGGUGCUCUGGAAACAGAGCCGCAGAGAAUAGGUCCAGGCAACUGUUUAGCAAAAACACAGCUCUCUGCUAAAUCGAAAGAUGACGUAUAGGGGGUGACGCCUGCCCGGUGCUGGAAGGUUAAGAGGAGGAGUGAGAGCCCCGAAUCGAAGCCCCAGUAAACGGCGGCCGUAACUAUAACGGUCCUAAGGUAGCGAAAUUCCUUGUCAGGUAAGUUCUGACCCGCACGAAAGGCGUAAUGAUCUGGACACUGUCUCAACAGCCCGCCCGGCGAAAUUGUAGUACCGGUGAAGAUGCCGGUUACCCGCGACAAGACGGAAAGACCCCAUGGAGCUUUACUGCAGCCUAAUAUUGGAUUUCGGUAUUUCAUGUACAGGAUAGGUGGGAGACGUGGAAACACAGGCGUCAGCUUGUGCGGAGUCAUCCUUGGGAUACCACCCUUGAAGUGCUGGAAUUCUAACCUGUGGCCAUGAAUCUGGUCAGGGGACAUUGUUAGGCGGGCAGUUUGACUGGGGCGGUCGCCUCCAAAAGAGUAACGGAGGCGCUCAAAGGUUUGCUCAGCAUGGCCGGAAACCAUGCCCUAGAGUGUAAACGCAAAAGCAAGCCUAACUGCGAGACCGACGGGUCGAGCAGUAACGAAAGUUG